ACAUAGCCACUAGCCAUAAUAGUAUUAGAGGUAAUACCUGCCCAGUGAGGAAACCCUUUAACGGCCGCGAGAACAAACCGCGCAAAGGUAGCAUAAUCACUUGUCCCCCAAAUAGGGACCCGUAUGAAAGGUUACAUGAGAAAGAGACUGUCCCCUCAGGUAGGUCGAUGAAACUGAUCUAUCAGUACAAAAGCUGAUAUAAAAAAGCAGGACAAAAAGACCCUGUGAAACUUUUAAACCUAAUCAAAACCACUAUUGACCAAGGUUUUUAGUUGGGGCAACUAAGGAGAAACAAAACCUCCUUUAAACCGCCAAGUCAAACAAGACAAAGCGCACCUACACACCAAUCAGACCCAGUAUAACUGAUCAAAGGACCAAGCUACUCCAGGGAUAACAGCGCCACACUCUUCAAGAGUCCAUAUCAACAAGAGUAUCUACGACCUCGAGGUUGGAUCAGGGUAACCCAGCGGUGAAGAAGCUGCUAAAGGUUCGUUUGUUCAACGAUUAAAACCCUACGUGAUCU
rnacentral:rRNA from 1 species